rnacentral:rRNA from 1 species
AGCGUUGUUCGGAUUUACUGGGCGUAAAGGGCGCGUAGGCGGCGCGGUAAGUCACUUGUGAAAUCUCUGAGCUUAACUCAGAACGGCCAAGUGAUACUGCAGUGCUAGAGUGUGGAAGGGGCAAUCGGAAUUCUUGGUGUAGCGGUGAAAUGCGUAGAUAUCAAGAGGAACACCGGUGGCGAAGGCGGGUCUCUGGGCCGAUACUGACGCUGAGGAGCAAAAGCGUGGGGAGCGAACAGG